rnacentral:misc_RNA from 1 species
GUUGAGGAUGGCGGCGGGUAUCACCUUCCAGUCUCAGUCGUCUCUGCUGUUCCUCAGAUCCAUCCCGUCGUUGUCUAUCUACCGGUCCCCCGUCGCCAUUCCCAUCCGGAUUUCUCGCUUGGGAGGGUGCUUGAAAGCGUUUCCGUCAUCGGAGUCGAUCAGUUCGGAGAAGGGAUUAAGAGUCGGAGUGGGCGGCGGCGGAGGGGGUAGUAGCGGCGGCGGCGAUAGCGGAGGAGACCAAGGAGGGGAUCAAGAGGGCGAGGAGAAGACGACAGGCGGGUUGUCCAUGUCUCAGAAGCUCACCCUCGCCUAUGCUGCCCUCGUCGGAGUGGGUGGAAUUAUGGGAUACUUGAAAAGCGGGAGUCUGAAGUCAGCAGGUGCAGGAGGGCUGUCCUCUCUGGUGCUAAUUUACGUUUACUCGCAACUUCCAGUGAAUCCGGUUUUCGCAUCUUCCCUGGGUCUGGGUGUAUCUGCUGCGCUGCUUGGAGUGAUGGGGUCUCGUUUCAUCAAAUCUGGAAAGGUUUUUCCGGCAGGCGUAGUCUCGGUGGUCUCCUUUGUCAUGGUGGGCGGUUAUCUUCAUGGGGUUCUGCGUAGCCUGCACUAACGUAUGUCUGUUCUGCCUUUGCAAACCACUACAAGCUUCACGGGGUUCUGCGUAGCCUGCACUAGCGUAUGUCUGUUCUGC